rnacentral:snRNA from 1 species
CUACUUACCUGGCAGGGGAGAUACCAUGAUCAAGAAGGUGGUUCAGCCAGGGCGAGGCUCAGCCAUUGCGCUCUGGUUGAGCUGACCUCUGCAAAUUCCCCAAAUGUGGGAAUCUUGACUGCAUGAUUUCUGCUCAUGGGGCCCUGCUUACGUGGCAGCCCAU